GAUAAACGCUGGCGGCGUGCCUAACACAUGCAAGUCGAACGAUCCCGCAAGGGAGAGUGGCGGAAGGGUGAGUAACACGUGGGAAUCUACCUCCUCGCAGGGAACAACCUCUCGAAAGAGAGGCUAAUACCCAAAAGGGUCAGAAAUGAUCAGAGUCGAAAGGCGUGAGGAGAGGAGCCCGCGGCCCAUCAGCUAGUUGGUGAGGUAAUGGCUUACCAAGGCUACGACGGGUAGGGGAUCUGAGAGGAUGUCCCCCACACUGGAACUGAAACACGGUCCAGACGCCUACGGGUGGCAGCAGUGAGGAAUAUUGGACAAUGGGCGAAAGCCCGAUCCAGCAACGCCGCGUGGAGGAUGAAGGCCUUCGGGUCGUAAACUUCUUUAGAGGGAAGACGGAGAAAGGACGGUAUCCCUAGAUAAGCGACGGCAAACUACGUGCCAGCAGCCGCGGUAAU
rnacentral:rRNA from 1 species